rnacentral:rRNA from 1 species
CCUACGGGAGGCUGCAGUGAGGAAUAUUGGUCAAUGGGCUUACGCCUGAACCAGCCAAGUCGCGUGAGGGAAGACUGCCCUAUGGGUUGUAAACCUCUUUUGUCAGGGAGCAACGCCGGCUACGUGUAGCCGGACUGAGAGUACCUGAAGAAAAAGCAUCGGCUAACUCCGUGCCAGCAGCCGCGGUAAUACGGAGGAUGCGAGCGGUAUCCGGAUUUAUUGGGUUUAAAGGGUGCGUAGGCGGAAUGCCAAGUCAGCGGUAAAAUCGCGGGGUUCAACCUCGCUCCGCCGUUGACACUGGCGUGCUUGAGUGGGCGAGAAGUAUGCGGAAUGCGUGGUGUAGCGGUGAAAUGCAUAGAUAGCGCGAAGAACUCCGAUUGCGAAGGCAGCGUACUAGACUGCCACUGACAUUGAUGCACGAAAGUGUGGGUAUCGAACAGGAGUAGAUACCCCUGUAGUC